rnacentral:rRNA from 1 species
GCCCUGCAGCGGGGGAUAACCCGGGGAAACCUCGGGCUAAUACCGCAUACGACAUACGGGUGAAAGGGGGCUUCGGCUCUCACUGCAGGAUGAGCCCUCAUCCGUUUAGCUUGUUGGUGAGGUAACGGCUCACCAAGGCGACGAUCGGUAGCUGGUCUGAGAGGAUGAUCAGCCACACUGGGACUGACGACACGGCCCAGACUCGUACGGGAGGCAGCAGAGGGGAAUAUUGGUCAAUGGGCGAAAGCCUGAUCCAGCAAUGCCGCGUGUGUGAAGAAGGCCUGCGGGUUGUUAAGCACUUUCAGCGAGGAAGAAAAGCCUAUGGUUAAUACCCAUGGGUCUAGACGUUACUCGCAGAAGAAGCACCGGCUAACUCCGUCGCCACCAGCCGCGGUAAUACGGAGGGUGCAAGCGUUAAUCGGAAUCACUGGGCGUAAAGCGCACGUAGGCGGCGAGGUCAGUCAGAUGUCGAAAGCCCCCGGCUUAACCUGGGAACUGCAUUUGAUACUGCCUGGCUAGAGUUUGAUAGCAGGGGGGUGGAAAUCCAGGUGUAGCGGUGAAAUGCGAAGAUAUCUGGAGGAACACCAGUGGCCAAGGCGGCCCC